AUUGAACGCUGGCGGCAGGCCUAACACAUGCAAGUCGAGCGGAUGAGUGGAGCUUGCUCCAUGAUUCAGCGGCGGACGGGUGAGUAAUGCCUAGGAAUCUGCCUGGUAGUGGGGGACAACGUUUCGAAAGGAACGCUAAUACCGCAUACGUCCUACGGGAGAAAGUGGGGGAUCUUCGGACCUCACGCUAUCAGAUGAGCCUAGGUCGGAUUAGCUAGGUGGUGAGGUAAAGGCUCACCAAGGCGACGAUCCGUAACUGGUCUGAGAGGAUGGUCAGUCACACUGGAACUGAGACACGGUCCAGACUCCUACGGGAGGCAGCAGUGGGGAAUAUUGGACAAUGGGCGAAAGCCUGAUCCAGCCAUGCCGCGUGUGUGAAGAAGGUCUUCGGAUUGUAAAGCACUUUAAGUUGGGAGGAAGGGCAGUAAGUUAAUACCUUGCUGUUUUGACGUUACCAACAGAAUAAGCACCGGCUAACUUCGUGCCAGCAGCCGCCGUAACAC
rnacentral:rRNA from 1 species